rfam:TPA: Bos taurus chromosome 14, whole genome shotgun sequence.
UCCCUGAUGGUCCAGUGGGUAGGACUCUGUGCUGCCAAUGCAAGGGUUGCAGGUUGGAUCCCUGAUCUGGAAA